GUGCUUACUUUGGCAACACACAGACUAAAAUUGGAACUAUGCAGAGGAGAUUAGCAUGGGUCCUGUGCAAAAAUAAUACAAAAAUUCAUGAAGCAGUUCAUUUCUUU